GUGCAGCAGUCGCGAAACUUUACAAUGUGCGAAGCACGAUAAGGGAACUCUGAGUGCCUCCUAAGGAGGCUGUUCUGAUGUCUAAAAGCAACAGAAGUAAGGGCUGGGUAAGACCGGUGCCAGCCGCCGCGGUAACACCGGCAGCCCAAGUGGUAGCCACGUUUAUUGGGUCUAAAGCGUUCGUAGCCGGCCAGGUAAGUUCCUUGGUAAAUUUAGCCGCUUAACGGUUAAGCUUUCGGGGAAUACUGCUUGGCUCGGGACUGGGAGAGGACAGAGGUACUCCGGGGGUAGGGGUGAAAUCUAUUAAUCCCUGGGGGACCACCGGUAGCGAAGGCGUCUGACCAGACCAGGUCCGACGGUGAGGGACGAAGGCUAGGGGCGCGAACCGGAUUAGAUA
rnacentral:rRNA from 1 species